rnacentral:rRNA from 1 species
GACGAACGCUGGCGGCGUGCCUAAUACAUGCAAGUCGAACGCAGUGGGGACGGGUGAGUAACACGUUGGCAACCUCCCAUCAGAGGGGAUAACACUUGGAAACAGGUGCUAAACCGAUACUGAUGGAUGGACCCGCGGUGCAUUAGCUAGGUGGUGGGGUAACGGCUCACCAAGGCCACGAUGCAUAGCGGACCUGCGAGUGGGAACGGCGACACUGAGACUGAGACACGGCCCAGACUCCUACGGGAGGCAGCAGUAGGGAAUGUUCGGCAAUGGACGAAAGUCUGACCGAGCAACGCGGCGUGAGUGAAGAGGGUUUUCGGAUCGUAAAGCUCUGUUGUAAGAGAAGCGGUAUCUUACCAGAAAGCCACGGCUAACUACGUGCCAGCAGCCGCGGUAAUA